rnacentral:piRNA from 1 species
UUUUAGGGUGCUGUUUUUCUGGUA